AUUGAACGCUGGCGGCAGGCCUAACACAUGCAAGUCGAGCGGAUGACGGGAGCUUGCUCCUUGAUUCAGCGGCGGACGGGUGAGUAAUGCCUAGGAAUCUGCCUGGUAGUGGGGGACAACGUGUCGAAAGGAACGCUAAUACCGCAUACGUCCUACGGGAGAAAGCAGGGGACCUUCCGGCCUUGCGCUAUCAGAUGAGCCUAGGUCGGAUUAGCCAGUUGGUGAGGGAAUGGCUCACCAAGGCGACGAUCCGUAACUGGUCUGAGAGGAUGAUCAGUCACACUGGAACUGAGACACGGUCCAGACUCCUACGGGAGGCAGCAGUGGGGAAUAUUGGACAAUGGGCGAAAGCCUGAUCCAGCCAUGCCGCGUGUGUGAAGAAGGUCUUCGGAUUGUAAAGCACUUUAAGUUGGGAGGAAGGGCAGUAAGCUAAUACCUUGCUGUUUUGACGUUACCGACAGAAUAAGCACCGGCUAACUCUGUGCCAGCAGCCGCCGCCGUAA
rnacentral:rRNA from 1 species